rnacentral:rRNA from 1 species
CCUACGGGUGGCAGCAGUGGGGAAUAUUGGACAAUGGGGGCAACCCUGAUCCAGCCAUGCCGCGUGUGUGAAGAAGGCCCUCGGGUUGUAAAGCACUUUCAGUGAGGAAGAACGCCUGGUGGUUAAUACCCAUCAGGAAAGACAUCACUCACAGAAGAAGCACCGGCUAACUCCGUGCCAGCAGCCGCGGUAAUACGGAGGGUGCGAGCGUUAAUCGGAAUUACUGGGCGUAAAGCGCGCGUAGGUGGCUUGAUAAGCCGGUUGUGAAAGCCCCGGGCUCAACCUGGGAACGGCAUCCGGAACUGUCAAGCUAGAGUGCAGGAGAGGAAGGUAGACUUCCCGGUGUAGCGGUGAAAUGCGUAGAGAUCGGGAGGAAUACCAGUGGCGAAGGCGGCCUUCUGGACUGACACUGACACAGAGGUGCGAAAGCGUGGGUAGCAAACAGGAUUAGAUACCCUAGUAGUC